rnacentral:sRNA from 1 species
GAAUAAUAUCAAAUCAUUCCACCAAGGCGUUUGCAAGUCUGAACUGUAUAGAAGACCAUUCCCUGGGCCUCGCGGUCGCCGUUUUGUCCGCUCUCAAUAUGAAACUAGAUCUGCAAGCAGCGCAGCGAAAGACUAUGCUUCCGGGUAAAACAAAUGAAACUAUCGAUUGAAUAGGCGAAAAGCAGCGUGAAUUGAGUGGGGAACCUGGGGAGAGGCGAGAGGCGAGAGGCGAGAGGUGGAUUACGUUGGCGUACUGAUAUCGACGCUCGAUUCUUGAGUGCGACAAUUGCGUUGUCUAUAGUUAGCACUUGUUUCCAUGAUAGCAGCCCUGAUCCCACCUUCGCACGUUGCCGAUAGUGACUGCUGUCCCUCGAGCACUUAAUCGCUCGUUAUGAUGAGAGUCAGGGCGCAAGAGUAUUCAAAGGAUGAGAGUCUCAGCCUAUGGCCGCAGAUUACGUUGAAACUUUAUCCUGCUCAAUUUUGAUCUCUAAGCAAAACAGGAGACGGAGGAGAGAAUGUCAUGUACAGAAGUAUCGGAAUGAUUGGGGCGACAUAUGCACCCAGCCGUAUGACGAAUCCAAUCGUGUGUAUCGAAAACUGCAAGAUAUGUCGCUCGAUAUCGCAGGGCACGACACAUCAGUUGAUACAUGAGAGAAGAUCAGAAGAGAAGUGGGACGACCGAAUGGUCGAUUAUUGAUAAACGAUAACAGUUUUAUUGGCCACUGACGAAUCAUCCGCCAGACGCCAGAUUUACUCUUGUCCCGGCAUCCCGUUAUCAUGUAUCUUAGAUUGCUUGACAACUGAUACUCGAAGCCGCGGAAGACAGGGCGCAAUUUACACGAUCCAUUGCUCACAAUCGGCCAUUCAAACGAUGCAAGCAAUCGUAUAGCGCACAGCAUUAACGUCCUACCGGCUACCACCUCUUGACGCCUGACGGAAAAUAUUGAUAGAUAUCGUAUCUUGGCCGGCUCGGGACUCAAUGACGUACGGCGGCAUUUACCAAUAUAUUUCGACGCGAUAAGACGUGGGUGGGGAUGAUAGGUUGAACUUCGGAAAUGCUCAUGGCGGAGAGUAGAAUGAGAAGUGGGCAUCUGCGAAGAACCCCAAUCGUUAUUUCGGUAGAGAGAGAGGAUUGGCCACGAAUCCCACAUCUUGUUCAAACAGAACGCAGGAAGUUUUCCGCAUUUACGACGUCUUCAUAUUUAUAAUCUUCCCCAAUCACGUCGAAUAUGAAGAAAACCAAGCGCCUAUUCCAAGAUCCGCAUCGUCUUCCCUCUUCCGUCUAAAAUCUUCAAAUAUAGUGACUGUGCAGAGCGGAUUGAGGAACCUCGCAAUCCGGCUCAGCGGGGAAGCGCAGAGUGGACGGGAUUGAUGGGAGGUGAUCUGAAUUGGAGCAGAUGACCCAGACGUUUAAUGAUCUUUCAAGGGAGAAUGAUGACUUUAAAUGUGCCAUAUGAGGUUUAUGAGUCGAUGGCGUUGAGCGGUGGUAGAUUUGAGGCGUAGCGUUUGCUAGAGAUUUGGGUCUAUAGACUGUGAUGAGUAGAGGAAAAAGUUAGACUGUGCACAGACAGUGACUAUGAUGAGAUAUUAGUGCGGCAUCUCGAAAAAGAGAAAUGAAUGCCAUUACGACGUCCUGGAA